AGUGAAUAGAUACCCCGGUAGUCCCAGCCGUAAACGAUGCUCGCUAGGUGUCAGGCAUGGCGCGACCGUGUCUGGUGCCGCAGGGAAGCCGUGAAGCGAGCCACCUGGGAAGUACGGCCGCAAGGCUGAAACUUAAAGGAAUUGGCGGGGGAGCACAACAACGGGUGGAGCCUGCGGUUUAAUUGGACUCAACGCCGGACAACUCACCGGGGGCGACAGCAAUAUGUAGGCCAAGCUGAAGACUUUGCCUGAAUCGCUGAGAGGAGGUGCAUGGCCGUCGCCAGUUCGUACUGUGAAGCAUCCUGUUAAGUCAGGCAACGAGCGAGACCCGUGCCCACUGUUACCAGCAUGUCCUGGUAC
rnacentral:rRNA from 1 species